GAUGAAGAACGCAGCGAAAUGCGAUAAGUAAUGUGAAUUGCAGAAUUCAGUGAAUCAUCGAAUCUUUGAACGCACAUUGCGCCCGCCAGUAUUCUGGCGGGCAUGCCUGUUCGAGCGUCAUUACAACCCUCAGGCCCCCGGGCCUGGCGUUGGGGAUCGGCGGAAGCCCCCUGCGGGCACAACGCCGUCCCCCAAAUACAGUGGCGGUCCCGCCGCAGCUUCCAUUGCGUAGUAGCUAACACCUCGCAACUGGAGAGCGGCGCGGCCACGCCGUAAAACACCCAACUUCUGAAAGUUUGACCUCGGAUCAGGUAGGAAUACCCGCUGAACUUAAGCAUAUCAAUAAGCGGAGGA
rnacentral:misc_RNA from 1 species